CCUACGGGGGGCAGCAGUGAGGAAUAUUGGUCAAUGGGCGCGAGCCUGAACCAGCCAAGUAGCGUGAAGGAUGACUGCCCUACGGGUUGUAAACUUCUUUUAUAAAGGAAUAAAGUGAGGCACGUGUGCCUUUUUGUAUGUACUUUAUGAAUAAGGAUCGGCUAACUCCGGUCCAGCAGCCUCGGUAAUACGGAGGAUCCGAGCGUUCUCCGGAUUUAUUGGGUUUAAAAGGAGCGUAGAUGGGUUGUUAAGUCAGUUGUGAAAGUUUGCGGCUCAAACGUAAAAUUGCAAUUGAUACUGGCAGCCUUGAGUACAGUUGAGGUAGGCGGAAUUCGUGGUGUAGCGGUGAAAUGCUUAGAUAUCACGAAGAACUCCGAUUGCGAAGGCAGCUUACUAAACUGCCACUGACAUUGAUGCUCGAAAGUGUGGGUAUCAAACAGGAUUAGAUACCCGAGUAGUC
rnacentral:rRNA from 1 species